AUCCAUUUGUGGUUCAUAAGCAUGAUUAUUGGGUUUUCAUGCCGUGUGCGGUGUGCCUCCUUCAAACCUUGUUAUGACAUUGGCAUAUUACUUAUCUGACA